UACGUAGGUGGCGAGCGUUGUCCGGAUUUACUGGGCGUAAAGGGAGCGUAGGCGGACUUUUAAGUGAGAUGUGGAAUACCCGGGCUCAACUUGGGUGCUGCAUUUCAAACUGGAAGUCUAGAGUGCAGGAGAGGAGAAUGGAAUUCCUAGUGUAGCGGUGAAAUGCGUAGAGAUUAGGAAGAACACCAGUGGCGAAGGCGAUUCUCUGGACUGUAACUGACGCUGAGGCUCGAAAGCGUGGGGAGCAAACAGGAUUAGAUACCCGCGUA
rnacentral:rRNA from 1 species